UACGUAGGGAGCAAGCGUUGUUCGGAUUUACUGGGCGUAAAGGGCGCGUAGGCGGCAAUUCAAGUCAGCUGUGAAAUCUCCGGGCUUAACUCGGAACGGUCAGCUGAUACUGCUUUGCUAGAGUGCGGAAGGGGCAAUCGGAAUUCUCGGUGUAGCGGUGAAAUGCGUAGAUAUCGAGAGGAACACCUGAGGUGAAGACGGGUUGCUGGGCCGACACGUGACGCUGACAGCGCGAAAGCCAGGGGAGCAAACGGG
rnacentral:rRNA from 1 species